rnacentral:rRNA from 1 species
GACAGCAGCCGCCACGGUAAUACGGAGGGUGCAAGCGUUAAUCGGAAUUACUGGGCGUAAAGCGUGCGUAGGCGGUUCGUUAAGUCUGUUGUGAAAGCCCCGGGCUCAACCUGGGAAUGGCAAUGGAUACUGGCGAGCUAGAGUGUGUCAGAGGAUGGUGGAAUUCCCGGUGUAGCGGUGAAAUGCGUAGAGAUCGGGAGGAACAUCAGUGGCGAAGGCGGCCAUCUGGGACAACACUGACGCUGAGGCACGAAAGCGUGGGGAGCAAACAGGAUUAGAUACCCGCGUAGUCCCUGUCUCUUAUAC